rnacentral:tRNA from 1 species
GGCAGUUUAGCUAAAUGCUAGAAUAUUCAGCCGGUAUUUGAGAGGUACGGGUUCGAGUCCCGUGGCUGUCU